rnacentral:rRNA from 1 species
CGAAAGUUUUGAGACGCAACGUGAGAUGAGGGGUCGAUUUUACAAGUGAAGUAAUGGGACGGUUACCGAAAGCCAGGCUUACCAGCGCGGGUAAUACGUAGGUGGCAAGCGUUAUCGGAAUUAUUGGGCGUAAAGCGCGCGCAGGGGUCUCUUAAGUCUGAUGUGAAAGCCCACGGCUCAACUGGAGGGUCAUUGGAAACUGGGAGACUUGAGUGCAGGAGAGAAAAGUGGAAUUCCACGUGUAGCGGUGAAAUGCGUAGAGAUGUGGAGGAACACCAGUGGCGAAGGCGGCUUUUUGGCCUGUAACUGACGUGAGGCGCGAAAGCGUGGGGAGCAAACAGGAUUAGAUACCCUGGUAGUCCACGCCGUAAACGAUGAGUGCUAGGUGUUGGGGGGUUCCACCCUCAGUGCUGAAGUUAACACAUUAAGCACUCCGCCUGGGGAGUACGACCGCAAGGUUGAAACUCAAAGGAAUUGACGGGGGCCCGCACAAGCAGUGGAGCAUGUGGUUUAAUUCGAAGCAACGCGAAGAACCUUACCAGGUCUUGACAUCCUCUGACCACUCUAGAGAUAGAGCUUUCCCCUUCGGGGGACAGAGUGACAGGUGGUGCAUGGUUGUCGUCAGCUCGUGUCGUGAGAUGUUGGGUUAAGUCCCGCAACGAGCGCAACCCUUGACCUUAGUUGCCAGCAUUCAGUUGGGCACUCUAAGGUGACUGCCGGUGACAAACCGGAGGAAGGUGGGGAUGACGUCAAGUCAUCAUGCCCCUUAUGUCCAGGGCUUCACGCAUGCUACAAUGGCCGGUACAAAGGGCUGCGAUGCCGUAAGGUGGAGCGAAUCCCAAAAAGCCGGUCUCAGUUCGGAUUGGGGUCUGCAACUCGACCCCAUGAAGUCGGAGUCGCUAGUAAUCGCAGAUCAGCAACGCUGCGGUGAAUACGUUCCCGGGCCUUGUACACACCGCCCGUCACGUCACGAAAGUCGGCAACACCCGAAGCCGGUGGCCCAACCCUUGUGGAGGGAGCCGUCGAAGGUGGGGCUGGCGAUUGGGACGAAGUCGUAACAAGGUAGCCGUACCGGAAGG